rnacentral:rRNA from 1 species
GACGAACGCUGGCGGCAUGCCUAAUACAUGCAAGUCGAACGCUUUAACUUCACCGGGUGCUUGCACCCAUCGAAGUUAAGGAGUGGCGGACGGGUGAGUAACACGUGGGUAACCUGCCCAUAAGAGGGGGAUAACAUUCGGAAACGGAUGCUAAUACCGCAUAUUUCUAAUCGUCUCCUGACGAAUGGAAGAAAGGUGGCUUCGGCUACCGCUUAUGGAUGGACCCGCGGCGUAUUAGCUAGUUGGUGAGGUAAUGGCUCACCAAGGCGAUGAUACGUAGCCGACCUGAGAGGGUGAUCGGCCACACUAGGACUGAGACACGGCCCAG